UUGCUUAUACCAACACUCAAAUUUCAGAUUUCUUCGCUGAGACAUUCUGUCGAACUGUUGGCGGACAUUCUUAUUCUUCCAUUUGCACUGCCGCAGCCAACGCCGCUCCCGCCACAAACGGCGGCGGAGGUGGACGCCACAAGUAUGCAGCCGAGGGUGGAGGAGAGAGAGAAAAUAAAAGUGAGAAGAAUCAAAGAUAUGUCGCCCUUUAGCAACCAAAAAAAAAAAACUCCAUUGUUAACCUAAUAUUUUCAAUUCAACUAACGUAAUUCAUCAUAUUCAAAUGUUCAGUUCACAUUUAAACCAAUCAAACCAGUAAGUCGAGGAUUAGCACUGAUGGAUAAAUGUUCAGUUCAAAAAUGGUGAAUUAAUUCAUCAUUUCCCAAAAAUCAAGAAACUCAUUUCAAACUUGUAUUUUGCAUUGACUAGUAAAUAAAGUAGAUAAGUUAAGAAAAGCUUCGUCUCAUUUUCCAAUGGGAAAACAAAAACGCCGCAAAUAGUGUCUGUUGCUUUCGCCUCAGAAUUCAAUAUUGUUAGAAAUGGAUAUUGGGUCCAUUUCUCUCUUAAAAGGCCUUAUAAGGGAGAAUGAUACGCCAAGCCCAUCCCCUAGCUUGGCCCUAUUAUGAUCUAGCCCAUUAGCCCAUUAGGUUUUUAUUAUUAGGUAUAAAUAAUGUAAUCUCUAAGUUUAUUGGAUAUGAAAUGAAUAUGUUGGUUGUUUUGUCAAAUCUCUCCCUUCUCUCUUGAUUUAUGGAGUUUGAGNAUAAUUAAAUAGAUCAUUUUAACGUUUAGCAAAGCUCAAACUAAUUUUAAAAGUUCAAAUUAAUGUUUAAAGCCCAUUAUUUAAUUCUAUGAAUUAUUUUAAAAGCCCUAUAGGCAAAUUCUAUUUCUCUCUCUCUCUACUCUUUCACCUUCUCCAUUUUCAUUCUCUUCUUGUGUGGGUGCAGCGAGUCCACGUAAAUAUUACUUUAAAAAAAUCGAAGUGCAUCACCGUUGAUACGGAUCCGUAUCAAUGGUGGAGCAAUUCGAGUCGCUCAAACUCCAUAAAUCAAGAGAGAAGAGAGAGAUUUGAC
rnacentral:lncRNA from 1 species